GUCGAACGGCAGCGCGGGGCAACCUGGCGGCGAGUGGCGAACGGGUGAGUAAUAUAUCGGAACGUACCCUGGAGUGGGGGAUAACGUAGCGAAAGUUACGCUAAUACCGCAUACGAUCUAAGGAUGAAAGUGGGGGAUGCGCAAGCACCUCAUGCUCCUGGAGCGGCCGAUAUCUGAUUAGCUAGUUGGUGGGGUAAAGGCCUACCAAGGCAUCGAUCAGUAGCUGGUCUGAGAGGACGACCAGCCACACUGGAACUGAGACACGGUCCAGACUCCUACGGGAGGCAGCAGUGGGGAAUUUUGGACAAUGGGCGAAAGCCUGAUCCAGCAAUGCCGCGUGAGUGAAGAAGGCCUUCGGGUUGUAAAGCUCUUUUGUCAGGGAAGAAACGGUGAGAGCUAAUAUCCUUUGCUAAUGACGGUACCUGAAGAAUAAGCACCGGCUAACUACGUGCCAGCAGCCGCGGUAAUACGUAGGGUGCAAGCGUUAAUCGGAAUUACUGGGCGUAAAGCGUGCGCAGGCGGUUUUGUAAGUCUGUCGUGAAAUCCCCGGGCUCAACCUGGGAAUUGCGAUGGGAGACUGCAAGGCUAGAAUCUGGCAGAGGGGGGUAGAAUUCCACGUGUAGCAGUGAAAAUGCGUAGAGAUGUGGAGGAACACCGAUGGCGAAGGCAGCCCCCUGGGUCAAGAUUG
rnacentral:rRNA from 1 species